AACGUAGGACACAAGCGUUAUCCGGAGUUACUGGGCGUAAAGGGCGUGUAGGCGGGAUGGUAAGUCUACUCUGAAAGCUCCUGGCUAAACUGGGAGAGGCGAGUGGAGACUGUCGUUCUAGAGUGAGGAAGAGGAAAGUGGAAUUCCGCGUGUAGUGGUGAAAUGCGUAGAGAUGCGGAGGAACACCAGUGGCGAAAGCGACUUUCUGGUCCUUAACUGACGCUGAGGCGCGAAAGCAUGGGGAGCGAACGGGAUUAGAUACCCCCGUAGUCC
rnacentral:rRNA from 1 species